GGGAACUAGGGAAAUAGAUAUCU
rnacentral:piRNA from 1 species